rnacentral:rRNA from 1 species
UACGUAGGGUGCAAGCGUUGUCCGGAAUUACUGGGCGUAAAGCGCGCGUAGGCGGCUUUGUAAGUUAGAGGUGAAAGCCCGGAGCUCAACUCCGGAAUUGCCUUUAAGACUGCAUCGCUAGAAUCAUGGAGAGGUGAGUGGAAUUCCGAGUGUAGAGGUGAAAUUCGUAGAUAUUCGGAAGAACACCAGUGGCGAAGGCGACUCACUGGACAUGUAUUGACGCUGAGGUGCGAAAGCGUGGGGAGCAAACAGG